rnacentral:rRNA from 1 species
GGAGGAAGGUGGGGACGACGUCAAGUCAUCAUGGCCCUUACGAGUAGGGCUACACACGUGCUACAAUGGCGCAUACAGAGGGCGGCCAACUUGCGAAAGUGAGCGAAUCCCAAAAAGUGCGUCGUAGGCCGGAUUGGAGUCUGCAACUCGACUCCAUGAAGUCGGAAUCGCUAGUAAUCGUGGAUCAGAAUGCCACGGUGAAUACGUUCCC